AGCGAACGCUGGCGGCAGGCCUAACACAUGCAAGUCGAACGAAGUCUUCGGACUUAGUGGCGGACGGGUGAGUAACACGUGGGAACGUGCCUUUAGGUUCGGAAUAACUCAGGGAAACUUGUGCUAAUACCGAAUGUGCCCUUCGGGGGAAAGAUUUAUCGCCUUUAGAGCGGCCCGCGUCUGAUUAGCUAGUUGGUGAGGUAAAGGCCCACCAAGGCUACGAUCAGUAGCUGGUCUGAGAGGAUGACCAGCCACAUUGGGACUGAGACACGGCCCGAACUCCUACGGGAGGCAGCAGUGGGGAAUCUUGCGCAAUGGGCGAAAGCCUGACGCAGCCAUGCCGCGUGGAUGAUGAAGGUCUUAGGAUUGUAAAAUCCUUUCACCGGUGAAGAUAAUGACUGUAGCCGGAGAAGAAGCCCCGGCUAACUUCGUGCCAGCCGCCGCAGUAACAC
rnacentral:rRNA from 1 species